rnacentral:lncRNA from 1 species
CAGGAUGCUUUGCUGCAAGAGCAUCUGAAUGAGCUAAAAGCAAAACAUGAGCAAGACCUACAGAUAAAAAUCAAUCAAAUUAUAUUGGAAAAGGAGGAGGAAAGCAAAGAGAUUCUGGAGAGUGCUGUCGCCAAAGAGAAGGACAAGUUCAAGCAAUCUGUGGAUGAAGAAAAGAAAAAGAUCCAAGACUUGGAAAAUCACCUGAGAAGUAUGACUGAGGUAAUUGAAAUGAAGUCAAAAGAGCAGGAGGUUGUAAAUGUCAAACUACGAGAAGCUACGGACAACCUAGAGGAAACUGGGAAGCGAGAGAUCAUGUUAAAGCAGCAGUUACUCAUGCAAGACGAACAGCUAAAGAUCACUCAGGAUGAGAACGAGUUACUGAAGCAGAAAAUUCAGAAAGAAAUAGUGGAAUAUAAGGAACAAAUUAAGCAACAUUCCCAGACAAUUGUUGCACUAGAAGACAGAUUGCUGAAGGCCAAGCAGGAGCAGAAGACUUUAGAAGAGGAAAAUGCAGCGCUCUUGGAAAAAAUAGAAGGAUUUCAGGGUGAUCCCUGCAGAUCCUCAUCAGGUGCUUCACUAGCGGUUUCUCAUACAGAGGAGUCUCCCGGUUGUCUUAUAGAAUUAGCAGCUGCACAGAACACAAUCCUGUCCAAAGAGGCUGUCAUUGUUGGAUUAACA